UGACGCAGCAACGCCGCGUGAGUGAUGAAGGCCUUCGGGUCGUAAAGCUCUGUCGGGAGGGAAGAAAUGGUUGUGUGUUAAUACCACAUGAUCUUGACGGUACCUCCGAAGGAAGCACCGGCUAACUCCGUGCCAGCAGCCGCGGUAAUACGGAGGGUGCAAGCGUUGUUCGGAAUUAUUGGGCGUAAAGCGCGUGUAGGCGGUUUCUUAAGUCUGAUGUGAAAGCCCCGGGCUCAACCUGGGAAGUGCAUUGGAAACUGGGAAACUUGAGUACGGGAGAGGGUAGUGGAAUUCCUAGUGUAGGAGUGAAAUCCGUAGAUAUUAGGAGGAACACCGGUGGCGAAGGCGGCUACCUGGACCGAUACUGACGCUGAGACGCGAAAGCGUGGGGAGCAAACAGGAUUAGAUACCCUGGUAGUCCACGCCGUAAACGAUGAGUACUAGGUGUUGCGGGUAUUGACCCCUGCAGUGCCGCUAACGCAUUAAGUACUC
rnacentral:rRNA from 1 species